rnacentral:rRNA from 1 species
GAUGAACGCUGCGGCGUGCUUAACACAUGCAAGUCGAACGAACGACUAUUAACAGAACCUUUCGGGGCGAAGAUGAUAGAAGUUAGUGGCGGACGGGUGCGUAACGCGUGGGUAAUCUGCCUUUGUCAAAGGAAUAACUAUUCGAAAGAAUAGCUAAAACCGUAUAACAUAUUAAUAGGGCAUCCUAAUAAUAUCAAAACGAUAGUGGACAAAGAUGAGCCCGCGUCUGAUUAGCUAGUUGGUGAGAUAAAAGCCCACCAAGGCAACGAUCAGUAGCCGACCUGAGAGGGUGAACGGCCACAUUGGAACUGAGACACGGUCCAAACUCCUACGGGAGGCAGCAGUGGGGAAUAUUGCACAAUGGGGGGAACCCUGAUGCAGCAACGCCGCGUGAGUGAAGAAGGCAUUCGUGUCGUAAAACUCUGUAGUAGGGGAAGAAAGAAAUGACAGUACCCUAAAAGAAAGCCCGGCUAUAC